rnacentral:ncRNA from 1 species
UGAGUUUGAUCCUGCUUCAGAAGGAACGCUAGCUAUAUGCUUARCACAUGYAAGUCGAAYGUGAUUUUCGGGGAGCUGGGCAGAAGGAAAAGAGGCUCAACRCUAAAGUAGUCUCGCCCUGGUUCAAAACGUAAGGGCACGCACGUARGCGAAGAUUUUCAGCCUCMGUUUGCUGGAUCAGAAUAGUUGAGAACAAAGUGGCGAACGGGUGCGUAAUGUGUGGGAAUCUGCAGAACAGUUCUGGCCAAAUCCUGAAUCAAGCUCCAAAGCGCUGUUUGAUGAGCCUSCGUAGUAUUAGGUAGUUGGUCAGGUAAAAGUUGACCAAGCCAAUGAUGCUUAGCUGGUCUUUUUCGAUGAUCAGCCACACUGGGACUGAGACACGGCCAGAACUCGCACGAGGGGCAGUAGUGGGGAAUCUUGGAUAAUGGGCGAAAGCCCAAUCCAGUAAUAUCGCGUGAGUGAAGAAGGGAAAUUCCGCUUGUAAAGCUCUUUUGUCAAGUGCGCGAUUAUGACUGGGUGUAAAGGGGCACGUAGGCGGUGAAUCAGGUUGAAAGUGAAAGUCACAAAAAACUGGUGGAAUGCUCUCAAAACCAAUUCAUUUGAGUGAGACAGAGGAGAGUGGAAUUUCGUGUGUAGGGGUGAAAUCCGUAGAUCUACGAAGGAAGGCCAAAAGAAAAGACAGCUCUCUAGGUCCCUACCGACGCUGGGGUGCAAAAGCAUGUCGAGCGAACAGGAUUAGAUACCCUGGUAGUCGAUGACGUAAAUGAUGAGUGUUCGCCCUUGGUCUACGUGGAUCAAGGUCCCAGCUAACGCGUGAAACACUGCGCCUGGGGAGUACGGUCGCAAGACCGAAACUCAAAGGAAUUGACAAGGGCCUGCACAAGCGGUGGAGCAUGUGGUUUAAUUCGAUACAACGCGCAAAACCUUACCAGCCCUUGACAUAUGAACAACAAAACCUGUCCUUAACAGGAUGGUACUGACUUUCAUACACGUGCUGCAUGGCUGUUGUUAGCUCGUAUCGUGAGAUGUUUGGUCAAGUCCUAUAAUGAGUGAAACCCUCGUUUUGUGUUGCUGAGAUACGCGCCUAAGGAGAAAUAGCAACCAGAGUGAGCCGAGUGAUGUGCCAGCGCUACUACUUGAGUGCCAGCACGUAGCUGUGCUUUCAGCAAGAAGUUCACGGGAGCCGGCGCUUUCGAAGCACUUUCACGUGUGAACCGAAGUCAUCUUGCGUCACUCAUUCCCCUAUCUAUAGUAAUGUCAAAGUACCAGUGACCAUGAUGGUUUGGUUAGGCUUGGUUAUGAUGACGUCGAGUUGGCGGCGGAGGAAGACUCGGCAUUCAGGUGAGCCGCCCGGUGGUGUGGUACAUAGUGGUAAUAGUACAUGCCCUGCUCCGAAACAAAGAAAAAGGUGUGUACCGCACUCACGAGAGACUGCCAGUGAGAUACUGGAGGAAGUUGGGGAUGAUGUCAAAUCUGCAUGGCCUUUAUAGGCUGGGCCACACACGUGCUACAAUGGCAAUGGCAAUAGGAAGCAAGGCUGUAAGGCGGAGCGAAUCUGGAAAGAUUGCCUCAGUUCGGAUAGUUCUCUGCAACUCGGGAACAUGAAGUUGUAAUCGCUAGUAAUCACGGAUCAGCAUGCCGCGGUGAAUAUGUACCCGGGCCCUGUACACACCGCCCGUCACACCCUGGCAAUUGGUUUCACCCGAAGCAUCAGACUAAUGAUCAUCCAUGACUUCUGUGUACCACUAGUGCCACAAAGGCUUUUGGUGGUCUUAUUGGCUCAUACCACGGUGGUGUCUUCGACUGGGGUGAAGUCGUAACAAGGUAGCCAUAGGGGAACCUGUGGCUU